rnacentral:rRNA from 1 species
AAUUUAACGGGGCUAAACUAUACACCGAAGCUUGGGAUACAUCUAAUGUAUGGUAGGAGAGCGUUCUGUAUGGGGAGAAGUCGUAGCGAAAGCGGCGGUGGACUAUACAGAAGUGAGAAUGCCGGAAUAAGUAGCGAGAAUUAAGUGAGAAUCUUAAUGGCCGAAAGUCUAAGGUUUUUGGAGGAAGGUUCGUCCGCUCCAAGUAAGUCGGGAGCUAAGGUCAGGCCGAAAGGCGUAGCCGAUGCACAUACGGUUGAUAUUCCGUAACCAUCUGUAAUUUAAGCAAAGGGACACUUCAAAAGGGUGUGACCCGGGCGUUGGUUGACCCGGGCGUAAGGGACCGAAAUUAGAGUAGGGAAGCACACUUGGCUGAAGGCGAGAAAAGCUUUGCGUAUAGAAACAGAUGCCCGUACCGCAAACCGACACAGGUGGACAGGAAGAGAAUUCUAAGGCCAGCGGGAGAAGGGUAGUUAAGGAACUCGGCAAAUUGACUCCGUAACUUCGGAAUAAGGAGUGCUCGAAAGAGCCGCAGAGAAUAGGCCCAGGCGACUGUUUAGCAAAAACACAGGUCUCUGCCAAAUCGAAAGAUGAAGUAUAGGGGCUGACACCUGCCCGGUGCUGGAAGGUUAAGAGGAGAUGUGCAAGCAUUGAAUUGAAGCCCCAGUAAACGGCGGCCGUAACUAUAACGGUCCUAAGGUAGCGAAAUUCCUUGUCGGGUAAGUUCCGACCCGCACGAAUGGUGUAACGAUUUGGGCACUGUCUCAACAAGGGACCCGGCGAAAUUGUAGUAUGUGUGAAGAUGCACAUUACCCGCGAUAGGACGGAAAGACCCCGUAGAGCUUUACUGUAGUUUAACAUUGGAUUCCGGUAACAUAUGCACAGGAUAGGUGGGAGGCGGAGAAGCAGUGAUUUCGGUUGCUGCAGAGCCGACGUUGGGAUACCACUCUUGUGUUACUGGGGUUCUAACCUGUGGCCGUGAUCCGGCACAGGAACAGUGUUAGAUGGGCAGUUUGACUGGGGCGGUCGCCUCCAAAAGAGUAACGGAGGCGUCCAAAGGUUCCCUCAGAAUGGUUGGAAACCAUUCGAAGAGUACAAAGGCAGAAGGGAGCCUGACUGCGAGACCGACAGGUCGAGCAGGGACGAAAGUCGGGCUUAGUGAUCCGGCGGUAUAGAGUGGAAUUGCCGUCGCUCAACGGAUAAAAGCUACCUCGGGGAUAACAGGCUUAUCUCCCCCAAGAGUCCACAUCGACGGGGAGGUUUGGCACC